CUCACCUUUUUUUUUUGUUGGAUUUCCUGUUUGAUGAAUCUUGGCUUGGGCUUUAAUUGCAGUUAUGCAAUCGCUUGUGCGCUUUGUUGUACUGGCAAAGUGCUCUUUUUUUCCCUGCUCGUUGCGCCUGUAUAAUUGAUUUUCAUUUCUUGCUCGUUGCGCCUGUUGUGUGUUUACAAGAGCUUUGGCUCACUAUUCCUGGCUCUCUUGUCAAUUUAACUGAGCCACUUUCACAGAUAAACUGAUUCUAGAUGCCGAGUUUUUUGAAUUGUCCGUCUGUUUUUUGUUCUGGCUUCUUAUCAUUUUAGUUUGUAGGUAUCUUGUUAAGUUUCCAUUUACUGCUUUUUGGGUGCACAUACAUAAGAUGUUCUCUCAUAAUUAAAGACUAGAGACAACUUAAAAGAAUUAUUGUUGUUUUCUUAGACUAGAUUACUUUGUUCUACAUGCAUUUUAUAAUUAUAAUCUCGUUUUAAACACAUCAAACAAAUGCAGUGUUAUAAUAAGUUGUCCAGGCUGCAUUUUAUGCAGCUGUCUAUGUGUAUAUGAUUGAGGGCCAUCAUGCAACCUAUGUUGUUUACUUCAUCUGUUAGGAUUACACUGCUUAUGCAACCUGCAUUUGUGAAGAGGCUGAGAAACAUAAAAUGCUGUUCAUUUCAACCAGUUUGGAUUGAACGAACCAAAUAAAAGCUUCAAUUAUUACUUGCGCUGAAAAUGUUGUUCAUUUCAACCAGUUCGUGUAUUGCCUAUGCUAGUGUUGUCUUCUAAAAUAGUUCGUGUAUUGCCGUUAAUGUUGUUCUAAGGAAAGAAUUUAUCUCACAAUUCAUUGUUUACUUAACAUUUUGCUCCUUGCAUUUCGCUAAGUUAGUUUGCUAAAACAAAAGAACACUUUGUAAGAAUGUUUUCCUUAUUUUCUCCUCCUUGGUAAUAUUUUAAGAACUAUUGGCAAUGCACUUAUUGAGAUUGUUUUCAUGUCUAAUUUGAAUAUUUUGAUCUCUGAGUGUCUGGAAUGAGAAGAUUAAGUUCAUAAUGUUAUGAAUGGAGUGAACUAUUGGCAAUGACACUGCUUGAACAAGAAGCAAUUUUUGUUCAGUGGAGUUGAGGGAGAGUUUUAUUUUUACUGUAUUCAUCUAUUUAUUUUAGUCUUAAAGUUCUCCUGGUUAAUGAAGUUAGAAUGAUUAGUUACCAUAUGAAUGCAUAUUAAUGAUCUUCAUUUUUGUUGAGUCUCAUUAAUGAUCACUUCCAUUCAAUAACAUAACUUGAAGUUUAGUUUUACUAUAAGGGCGUGCUCUACUUAUUUUUUUUUCUCUUUUUACCCCAAUUCUAGGUGAAAGAUUUUCUGAGAUAGUUGGAAGCCCUUAUUACAUGGCUCCAGAAGUUUUAAAACGGAAUUAUGGACCAGAAAUUGAUAUAUGGAGUGCUGGAGUUAUACUCUAUAUCUUACUGUGUGGAGUUCCACCAUUUUGGGCUGAAACUGAACAGGGAGUUGCAAAGCAAGGCAGUCUUUCAUGAUCUUUCAUGAUUCACAUAUUCAAAGUUUUUAUGUUAGUUAAUGAUCGACUUUCUUGCACAUUAAAAGGGGAAUGCUCUCAAAGACGCUGGACAUUAUAGGGUGACUUUUUAAUUUGGAUAUUUUUAUUCUCUUAAGUUUUUUUUCCUUGUUGAAUAACUUCAUUUUAAUAAUUUUUCCCAAGUCAUCCUUUGCUUUACAACCUAACCAUCCACAAGCAUUGUC